GACGAACGCUGGCGGCGUGCUUAACACAUGCAAGUCGAACGGUCAGACGCCAGCUUUGUGGCGUACACGAGUGCCGAACGGGUGAGUAACACGUGUGUGACCUGCCCUGCACUUCCUGAUAAAACUGCGAAACUGGGUCUCAUACCGGGUAGGAUCGCACCGACAGGGUGUGGUGGAAGGUUAUUUCGGUGUUGGAUGGGCUGGUGGCCUAUCAGCUUGUUGGUGGGGUAUUGGCUUACGAAGGCGGCGACGGGUAGCCGGCCUGAGAGGGUAGACGGCCACAUGGGGACUGAGAGACGGACCAGAAGCCAACGGGAGGCAGCAGUGGGGAAUAUGGCACAAUGGGGGGGAGCCUGAUGCAGCGGUGCCGGGUGGGGGAUGCCGGGCUUCGAGUGGUAAACACCUGUCACCAUCGACGAAGGGUUUUUGACGGUAGAUGGAGAAGAAGCACCGGCUAACUACGUG
rnacentral:rRNA from 1 species